rnacentral:ncRNA from 2 species
UUCCGGCAUCAAGAAGUUACUCAUUCAAUCUGUAACGCCAACCGAGCGCGAAAAGCCACGGUGGUAAAACGAUGAGGGUUUCAAAAACCAAAAAAGUUCAAAAGU